GAUGAACGCUGGCGGCGUGCCUAACACAUGCAAGUCGAGCGGCAGCGCGGGGUGCUUGCACCCUGUCGGCGAGCGGCGGACGGCUGAGUAACGCGUGGGAACGUGCCCCAAAGUGAGGAAUAACUGCCCGAAAGGGUAGCUAAUACCGCAUAUUAUCUUCGGAUCAAAGGAUUUAUCCGCUUUGGGAGCGGCUCGCGUCGGAUUAGGUAGUUGGUGAGGUAAUGGCUCACCAAGCCGACGAUCCGUAGCUGGUCUGAGAGGAUGACCAGCCAGACUGGAACUGAGACACGGUCCAGACUCCUACGGGAGGCAGCAGUGAGGAAUCUUCCACAAUGGGCGAAAGCCUGAUGGAGCAACGCCGCGUGCAGGACGAAGGCCUUCGGGUUGUAAACUGCUUUUAUAAGUGAGGAAUAUGACGGUAACUUAUGAAUAAGGAUCGGCUAACUACGUG
rnacentral:rRNA from 1 species